AUCUGGGCGUAAGCGUGCGUAGGUGGUUUGUUAAGCAAGAUGUGAAAGCCCCGGGCUCAACCUGGGAACUGCAUUUUGAACUGGCAAACUAGAGUUUUGUAGAGGGUAGUGGAAUUUCCAGUGUAGCGGUGAAAUGCGUAGAGAUUGGAAGGAACAUCAGUGGCGAAGGCGGCUACCUGGACAGAGACUGACACUGAGGCACGAAAGCGUGGGGAGCAAACAGGAUUAGAUACCCUGGUAGUCCACGCCGUAAACGAUGUCAACUAGCCGUCUGUAGACUUGAUCUGUGGGUGGCGUA
rnacentral:rRNA from 1 species